GAACGCACAUUGCGCCCCCUGGUAUUCCGGGGGGCAUGCCUGUUCGAGCGUCAUUUCACCACUCAAGCCUCGCUUGGUAUUGGGCGUCGCGAGUCUCUCGCGCGCCUCAAAGUCUCCGGCUGAGCGGUUCGUCUCCCAGCGUUGUGGCAACUAUUCGCAGAGGAGUUCGAGUCGUCGCGGCCGUUAAAUCUUUACAAGGUUGACCUCGGAUCAGGUAGGGAUACCCGCUGAACUUAAG
rnacentral:misc_RNA from 1 species